rnacentral:rRNA from 1 species
GAUGAACGCUGGCGGCGUGCCUAAUACAUGCAAGUCGAGCGGACGGACGAGAAGUUUGCUUCUCUGAUGUUAGCGGCGGACGGGUGAGUAACACGUGGAUAACCUACCUAUAAGACUGGGAUAACUUCGGGAAACCGUAGCUAAUACCGGAUAAGAUUUUGAACCGCAUGGUUCAAAAGUGAAAGACGGUCUUGCUGUCACUUAUAGAUGGAUCCGCGCUGCGUUAGUUAGUUGGUAAGGUAACGGCUUUCCAAGGCAGCGAUGCAUAGCCGACCGGAGAGGGUGGUAGCCGACCUGAGAACGUGACCACCGUCCAGGCUCCUGAGGGAGGGAGCAGUCGGGAAUCUUCGGCAAUAGGGGGAAACCUGACACAACACCGGCGAGUGAGUUGUAGAAGUCCUCCGAGCGGAAAACCCUGUUAUGAGGGGAGAACAGCUGUGUAAUUAACUGUGCACUGCUUGACGGUACCUAAUAAAAAAGCCACGGCUAACUACGUG